rnacentral:rRNA from 1 species
GAUCCUACGGGAGGCAGCAGUGGGGAAUAUUGGGCAAUGGGCGCAAGCCUGACCCAGCGACGCCGCGUGAGGGAAGACGGUCUUCGGAUUGUAAACCUCUUUCAGCAGGGAAGACAAAAGGACGGUACCUGCAGAAGAAGCCACGGCUAACUACGUGCCAGCAGCCGCGGUAAUACGUAGGUGGCAAGCGUUAUCCGGAUUUAUUGGGUGUAAAGGGCGUGUAGGCGGGAAUGCAAGUCAGAUGUGAAAACUCAGGGCUCAACCCUGAGCCUGCAUUUGAAACUGUAUUUCUUGAGUGCUGGAGG